rnacentral:rRNA from 1 species
CCUACGGGAGGCAGCAGUGAGGAAUCUUGGUCAAUGACCGGAAGGCUGAACCAGCCAUGCCGCGUGAGGGUCAGUGCCCUAUGGGCGUUAAACUUCUUUUGUGCGGGAACAAUCAUUGUCACGUGUGGCCCUACGAGAGUACCGUUCGAAUAAGAAUCGGCUAACUCCGUGCCAGCAGCAGCGGUAAUACGGAGGUUCCGAGCGUUCUCAUGAUUUAUUGGGUUUAAAGGGUGCGUAGGCGGUUUGAUAAGUUAGAGGGGAAAGGUCGGGGCUCAACCCCGAAACUGCAUCUAAUACUGUUGGACUAGAGAACAGGAGCGGUAGGCGGAAUGGAUGGUGUAGCGGUGAAAUGCUUAGAGAUCAUACAGAACACCGAUGGCGAAGGCAGCUUAUCAAACUAUAUCUGACGUUGAGGCACGAAAGCGUGGGUAGCAAACAGGAUUAGAUACCCGGGUAGUC